GCAGCAGUCCCCAACAACUGUGCGCCACACCCCUCCUAACCCAAGCCACCCGUGCUCAACCCUGCUGCUGGGCAAGAACCUAAAUCAGCAGUGGAGGAAGAGAAGCCCUGUGUUGGUAUAGUACAUCGCUUUGUGACCGAGACCUGGGAAAGGAAAUGAGAAGAAUGGAAGACGGAUACUAAUGGCCUGACCCAGCCUUGGGUUACAUAAAGGAACCCCCUAUUGGAAAGUGUCUGGAACCACGCAGGCACUCCAAGAGCCUGUAAGGUCCCACUGAUUCAUCAAGCCCAAUGACUCCGUGAGCCUACCCAAGACUCCAAAAGACGCGCUGAAUGUGGGGAGCAGAAUGGAGGAACAACACUUCUCAACAAAAUAAAUAAAAUCAAUGUAACAAUGCCA